GCCGGGUAGCUAUGUUCGGAAGGGAUAAGUGCUGAAUGCAUAUAAGUACGAAGCCCCCCUUAAGAUGAAUCAUCGAUCUCUCGCAAGAGAGUGAAGGCACCUCGUAGACUACGAGGUUGAUAGGCAGGGUGUGUAAGACCUGAAAGGGUUUCAGCUAACCUGUACUAAUUAGCCGAACACUUGUCCUU
rnacentral:rRNA from 1 species